CCUCCUCCCGUCCCUCUGCCCCCCCCGCCUCUCCUCGUUCUCCCGGGGGAGGAAGAACGGGAGAGAACUGAGGAGGAGGAGGGGGAGGAAGGCUGGGGAGGAGGAGGAGGAGGGCCGGGGAGGAAGGCCGGGGGUCCCAGCCCCAUCCCCCUCUCCCCACAGCAAACCCUGGGAGCAGCUCCCGAAAAAACCCAAACGCAAGAAACGGCGCCGGCGGAACGUGAACUGCCUGCGGCACGCGGUGCUGUGGUACGAGGACCACGGGCAGCGCUGCCCGUACGAGCCGCGCCUGGCGGAGCUGGAGCCCGCGCUGGGGCUGCCGUGCGCGGCCGUGUGGCAGUGCGAGCGCGGCCACCGCUACUUCCAGGACCUGCAGCCGCCGCCGCGCCCGCGCCGCGCCUCCGACGGCGACGACGAGGAGGAUGAGGAGGAGCCGCUGCUGAGGCUGAAGCAGGAGGAGCUGCCCCCCCCCGCCG